rnacentral:tRNA from 1 species
AGGAACUUAGGAUAUAUCAAACCAGUUGCCUUCAAAGCCACUAAAAAGAGUACUACCUCUUAGUUCCU